GGGAUAUCAUAUUGUCUGUUAUGUUGGAUAAAAAUAAUAAUUACUUGAUAAAAUUUAGAGUUAGUUUUAUCUGAUAGCUUCUUGGAGGUAUUAUCUAAUUUUGAAAUUAUUUUAUUUUAUUAUUAUACUAAAAUAAUAAAAUUAUUAUUAUACUAAAAUAAUAAAAUUAUUAUUUCAUAUAAAAGCUGAGAUAAAAUUAUCUC
rnacentral:lncRNA from 1 species